rnacentral:rRNA from 1 species
UCUACGGGAGGCAGCAGUGAGGAAUAUUGGUCAAUGGGCGCGAGCCUGAACCAGCCAAGUAGCGUGAAGGAUGACUGCCCUACGGGUUGUAAACUUUUUUUAUAAAGGAAUAAAGUGAGGCACUGGCUCCUUUAUGAACGUACUUUAUGUAUAUGGCUCGGCUAACUCUGUGCCAGCGGCCGCGGUAUUACGGAGGAUCCGAUCGUUAUCCGGAUUUCUUGGGUUUAAAGGGAGCGUAGAUGGGGUGUUAAGUCAGUUGUGAAAGUUUGCGGCUCAACCGUAAAAUUGCAAUGGAUACUGGCAGUCUGGAGUACAGUUGAGGUUGGCGGAAUUCGUGGUGUAGCGGUGAAAUGCGUAGAUAUCACGAAGAACUCCGGUUGCGAAGGCAGCUUACUAAACUGCCACUGACAUUGAUGCUCGAAAGUGUGGGUAUCAAACAGGAUUAGAUACCCGUGUAGUC